AUAUCUAUUAGAAAAGCACCAAAUGCAAAUUUUUAGGACGUAAGCUCGUGUGAUACUUGGAAGAGAUAAUAUCUCUUAUAUAUUAAAAAAGAAACAUUUGUCAUUAGUGUGCAUUCACACUAAAUUCGUCAUAUGAUAGCAUCACGUGGAUUUUAAAUUGAGUAUGCUGACGCGUCCGUUUUGCAAUCAUUUAACAACUAGGUGUUGU
rnacentral:lncRNA from 1 species